rnacentral:rRNA from 1 species
UGGAAGUGGCGGGGUGCUAUACAUGCAGUCGAGCGGACAGAUGGGAGCUUGCUCCCUGAUGUUAGCGGCGGACGGGUGAGUAACACGUGGGUAACCUGCCUGUAAGACUGGGAUAACUCCGGGAAACCGGGGCUAAUACCGGAUGGUUGUUUGAACCGCAUGGUUCAGACAUAAAAGGUGGCUUCGGCUACCACUUACAGAUGGACCCGCGGCGCAUUAGCUAGUUGGUGAGGUAACGGCUCACCAAGGCGACGAUGCGUAGCCGACCUGAGAGGGUGAUCGGCCACACUGGGACUGAGACACGGCCCAGACUCCUACGGGAGGCAGCAGUAGGGAAUCUUCCGCAAUGGACGAAAGUCUGACGGAGCAACGCCGCGUGAGUGAUGAAGGUUUUCGGAUCGUAAAGCUCUGUUGUUAGGGAAGAACAAGUGCCGUUCAAAUAGGGCGGCACCUUGACGGUACCUAACCAGAAAGCCACGGCUAACUACGUGCCAGCAGCCGCGGUAAUACGUAGGUGGCAAGCGUUGUCCGGAAUUAUUGGGCGUAAAGGGCUCGCAGGCGGUUUCUUAAGUCUGAUGUGAAAGCCCCCGGCUCAACCGGGGAGGGUCAUUGGAAACUGGGGAACUUGAGUGCAGAAGAGGAGAGUGGAAUUCCACGUGUAGCGGUGAAAUGCGUAGAGAUGUGGAGGAACACCAGUGGCGAAGGCAGACUCUCUGGUCUGUAACUGACGCUGAGGAGCAGAAAGCGUGGGGAGCGAACAGGAUUAGAUACCCUGGUAGUCCACGCCGUAAACGAUGAGUGCUAAGUGUUAGGGGGUUUCCGCCCCUUAGUGCUGCAGCUAACGCAUUAAGCACUCCGCCUGGGGAGUACGUUGCCGAAGAUUGAAUUACUAGAUAUUAACUGGAGGCCGCGCAAUCGGUUGCAUCAUGUCGUUAAUUCCAUACAGCUGAGAACGUAAACCGGGUGGGAAUUUCCUCUUACCAUUCCAU